GAUCCUGGCUUAGGAUGAACGCUAGCGGCAGGCUUAACACAUGCAAGUCGAGGGGCAGCGGGUGUAGCAAUACAUGCCGGCGACCGGCGAAAGGGUGAGUAACGCGUGAGCAACGUGCCCGUAUGUGGGGGAUAGUCAUUGGAAACGAUGCGUAAUACCCCGUAACACAAGGUUCCGCAUGGGACUUUGUUGAAAGAUUCAUUGCAUACGGAUCGGCUCGCGUGCCAUUAGGUAGACGGCGGGGUAACGGCCCACCGUGCCGACGAUGGCUAGGGGUUCUGAGAGGAAGGUCCCCCACAUUGGAACUGAGACACGGUCCAGACUCCUACGGGAGGCAGCAGUGAGGAAUAUUGGACAAUGGCCGGAAGGCUGAUCCAGCCAUGCCGCGUGCGGGAAUGACGGCCCUAUGGGUUGUAAACCGCUUUUGCGAGGGGGCAAUAAGGGUCACGCGUGGCCCGAUGAGAGUACCUCGCGAAUAAGCAUCGGCUAACUCCGUGCCAGCCGCUGC
rnacentral:rRNA from 1 species